GCAUAAUCAUUUGCCUCUUAAUUGGAGGCUUGUAUGAAUGGAUAUACGAGAUUAAUUCUGUCUCUCUUAUUUUAAUAUAAAUUAUCUUAUAGGUGAAGAGACCUAUAUAUUAAUGAAAGACAAAAAGACCCUAUUGAGCUUUAUUUUUAUCAAAUAUUUAUGAUAAAUUUACUUCAUAAUUGUAUUAAAUUUGGUUGGGGCGACGUAGAAAUAUAUAAAUCUUUCUUUUUAAUUUUAGAAUUAUAUUUCUUUUAAUUGAUCUGUUUUACAGAAAAUAGAAAUAGUUACCAUAGGGAUAACAGGCUAAUUCUCUUGGAGAGUUCAAAUUGAUAAGAGGGAUUGGCACCUCGAUGUUGGCUUAAGAUAUCCUAUAGGUGUAGAAUCUUAUAAGGGUUGGUUUGUUCAACCAUUAAAAUCUUA
rnacentral:rRNA from 1 species